rnacentral:pre_miRNA from 1 species
UGCGGCUGCAGGACUUAACUCACAUGUGAACAGUGAGUUCCUGCCAUGUUCACAGUGGUUAAGUUCUGCCGCCACA